CUGUUUAAGGUCUGUAGACAUAAGGCUUGAACAGGGGGUUGUACAAGAUACCGGCACAUGUAAAGCGCAUGCGUACGCGUGCGCAGUGCUAUGCUAGUGGUCGGAAGAUGGCGUUGAGUAUGUUCGACUCGGAGACUGCUGCAGUGCACUGGAAAAAUCGUGUUUAAUCUCCGUUUUAGAAAAUGAAAGAUUUGGGGGUGACAAACCUGCUUCAGGAGUGGGACUUCCCACAUUUAGUUCCAAUCUUUAGAGUUAAAUGUUGCAGAAGAUGAGCACGAAGAAGACACCUACUGGAUGCAAUAUUACUCAUCACCUGACAACAUUGUUAAUGUGACGAACCUCGGUACCGAGAUAUGAGUUGACUAGAGGAAACCCGCGACCAAGCACAGCAGAAAUUCUUGACAAAUAUCUACAGCUUUUGGGAAUGAUUGAUCAAGACUUUGAUUUAACAAUUGAUGCAGCUCCUGGUGCCCUUUUCACAAUGUGGCCAAAGUUGUCCAGGCAGACUUUGGAAUUUGCGGAGAACAUUAAUCCAGGGUAUAGAAAGAUCCUAGGGGCUGGAGUGGACCAGAAAAUGACGCAGAGUCAACAAUGAAGAAAAUUUGGCUUUCAGUACUUCCUGGGAUUUUGAUCGGCAGAAUGAAAGGGGAAUGAGGCAAAUUAAAUGUGCCGUACUUCAAAGUCUUGAAUCUUUCAUCAAUCUCCAAUUAGAAGGAGCAUGAAGAAAAAGAAGAUGAACAGGAAUUGACAAUGGCGCGUUCCAUACCUGGGAGUGAUUGCACAGUGGCACCCUUGGACCUAAUUUCACCCUGACAUCAAGUUGGUUUUAAGGAGAACCAUGAGAGAAAUUAAUAAAUUAAAGUUUGGCGAAUAUCAAAGAAUAACAGAGUUAUGAGGCUUCAAAGUUUUAAAUUUGUGACAUGACAUGCGAGCAGCUCCCAAUAUGUCAAUCAUGUAAUAUAAAUUCCAUAAAUUGCCAUUUUUUAAUGGUUUUCAUGAUAAUUAAAUGGGUUUUUAUCAGAAGCUUGUAUGAAAUAAUGUUUCUGAUAACAUUGAAUCCACAGGUAAAAUCAUUUUCCAAUUUCCCUAGAAAAGGCACUUGUAUAGAAUUGAUAUCACAUAAAAUAUGGGGAGCUGCUCGCAUGUGAAGUCACAAAUUUAAAACUUCAUAACUCUUAUUCUUGGUGGAUUUUCACCAACUAACAUGCAAUGUCAGGAUGAACCUUGCCUUUAAACCUUAUAUUGGCAGCCUUUCAUUGACAUUUACAUACAGUAUUUUAGGUUUUGUGAGCAAGUAUAUGAAAAAGGUGCUAAUUAACACCUACUUCCCCUUCUUAACCCUAAACAGGCCGGGGGGGGGGGGGGUUUAAAACAACCUUCCCCAACAUUUUCUGCGAUCAUUCCUCCACGGGAGAUUUGUUGACCCUGCCACUCUCAGAGUUUAUACUAAGUCUCGCGCAUCUUUUGAGACCAAAUUUACGAUGCCCAGGUACGUUGUCCCGAAAUUAUGCAACAUUUCGUAAGU
rnacentral:lncRNA from 1 species